GAUGAAGAACGUAGCGAAAUGCGAUACGUAGUGUGAAUUGCAGAAUUCCGUGAAUCAUCGAAUCUUUGAACGCACAUUGCGCCCCCUGGUAUUCCGGGGGGCAUGCCUGUCCGAGCGUCAUUGCAACCUUCAAGCGCGGCUUGUGUGUUGGGUCUCGUCCCCCGUGGACGGGCCCGAAAGGCAGUGGCGGCGUCCCGACAUGGUGCCCGAGCGUAUGGGAAUCCUCUUCCGCUCGAAUCGGCCCAUGCGGCGCUGGUCGUAACCAAAUUUUUUACCGGUUGACCUCGGAUCAGGUAGGGAUACCCGCUGAACUUAAGCAUAUCAAUAAGCGGAGGA
rnacentral:misc_RNA from 1 species